CUGGAUUCACCUGAAACUCCAGCUGUGUUCUGCAGUUGUCUCUAGCAAGAUGAAUCCUAUUUUCAGAAUAAUGAUCAUCUUGCAAGAAAACCUAAUAUAAGAGAACAACAUCAAACUGACAGGAAGAUUGAAUGGGCUUUACCCUGGUGUGUCAUCAAAGCUAUUGCUGUGAAGCGGUGAGUUUUAGUACUACAAAAUUG